GAUGAACGCUAGCGGCAGGCUUAACACAUGCAAGUCGAGGGGCAGCGCGGGAUAGCAAUAUCCUGGCGGCGACCGGCGGAAGGGUGCGUAACGCGUGAGCGACAUGCCCGUUGCCCGGGGACAACCGGUGGAAACGCCGACUAAUCCCCGAUGGGAUACGAUGCUCCAUGGCAUUGUAUUGAAAGUUACGGCGGCGACGGAUUGGCUCGCGUCCGAUUAGCUGGUUGGCGGGGUAACGGCCCACCAAGGCUGCGAUCGGUAGGGGUUCUGAGAGGAAGGCCCCCCACAAUGGGACUGAGACACGGCCCAUACGCCUACGGGAGGCAGCAGUGAGGAAUAUUGGUCAAUGGGCGGAAGCCUGAACCAGCCAUGCCGCGUGCGGGAAGGAGGCCCUAUGGGCUGUGAACCGCUUUUGCCUGGGGGCAAUAAGGGCGUCGCGCACGUCCGAUGAGAGUACCAGGCGAAUAAGCAUCGGCUAACUCCGUG
rnacentral:rRNA from 1 species